rnacentral:lncRNA from 1 species
CCCCCAUUCUUUGGCUAUUCGAAGCCCUACGGCCAAGGCUUCAUGUUUGGCUUCAUUAUUCAUUGCAUGGAACUCGAAGCACAAGGCAUACUCAACUACUAUCCCCUUUGGACCCAAGAGGAUCAGUCCUAUUUUGGAUCCUAUAGAGUUAGAUGAGCUAUCCUUGUACAUCACCCAAAAAUCAUUAUCAACUUUUGAAGAGCCUUCAU